rnacentral:tRNA from 1 species
CUUUGACAUAGAUGAGGGCUUCAGUAGUGCCUUAGAAGCUCUAAACGUUCAGGUUCAAGCUCCAAUUCAUGGA